rnacentral:rRNA from 1 species
GACGAACGCUGGCGGCGUGCCUAAUACAUGCAAGUAGAACGCUGAAGGAGGAGCUUGCUUCUCCGGAUGAGUUGCGAACGGGUGAGUAACGCGUAGGUAACCUGCCUGGUAGCGGGGGAUAACUAUUGGAAACGAUAGCUAAUACCGCAUAAGAGUAGAUGUCGCAUGACAUUUGCUUAAAAGGUGCAACUGCACCACUACCAGAUGGACCUGCGUUGUAUUAGCUAGUUGGGGAGGUAACGGCUCACCAAGGCAACGAUACAUAGCCGACCUGAGAGGGUGGUCGGCCACACUGGGACUGAGACACGGCCCAGACUCCUACGGGAGGCAGCAGUAGGGAAUCUUCGGCAAUGGACGGAAGUCUGACCGAGCAACGCCGCGUGAGUGAAGAAGGUUUUCGGAUCGUAAAGCUCUGUUGUAAGAGAAGAACGAGUGUGAGAGUGGAAAGUUCACACUGUGACGGUAUCUGACCAGAAAGGGACGGCUAACUACGUG